CUCUGUUGUUCUUUCCCAGAUGUUCCCCAGAACAGCCAUGUCGCUUGAAGCUGUGCUCUGCCUUGGUCUGGAGUGAACAAGGACCUUGGACAUGCUACACAAAUGCUCUACAGCUAAGCUACAUCCCAGAAUCCCAGAUCCAGGAAUGCUUUGAGUUUUGGCAGCUUUGAAAUAAGCCAAUAUCUGUUGUUUCACUGAAGAUGUGUGAGAAGGAAACCUUCCAAGGAAAUCUGCCUGAUUUAAAUAACAAGGAGGCAUGACAUUCUUCUUUAUGAAACCAAGAAC